CGCGCAGGCGGUCCUUUAAGUCUGAUGUGAAAGCCCACGGCUCAACCGUGGAGGGUCAUUGGAAACUGGAGGACUUGAGUGCAGAAGAGGAAAGUGGAAUUCCAUGUGUAGCGGCGAAAUGCGUAGGGAUAUGGAGGAACACCAGUGGCGAAGGCGACUUUCUGGUCUGUAACUGACGCUGAGGCGCGAAAGCGUGGGGAGCAAACAGGAUUAAUACCCUGGUAGUCCACGCCGUAAACGAUGAGUGCUAAGUGUUAGGGGGUUUCCGCCCCUUAGUGCUGCAGCUAACGCAUUAAGCACUCCGCCUGGGGAGUACGGCCGCAAGGCUGAAACUCAAAGGAAUUGACGGGGGCCCGCACAAGCGGUGGAGCAUGUGGUUUAAUUCGAAGCAACGCGAAGAACCUUACCAGGUCUUGACAUCCCGCUGCCCGGUGUAGAGAUACGCCUUUCCCUUCGGGGACAGCGGUGACAGGUGGUGCAUGGUUGUCGUCAGCUCGUGUCGUGAGAUGUUGGGUUAAGUCCCGCAACGAGCGCAACCCUUGAUCUUAGUUGCCAGCAUUCAGUUGGGCACUCUAAGGUGACUGCCGGUGACAAACCGGAGGAAGGUGGGGAUGACGUCAAAUCAUCAUGCCCCUUAUGACCUGGGCUACACACGUGCUACAAUGGACGGUACAAAGGGCUGCAAACCCGCGAGGGGGAGCCAAUCCCAGAAAACCGUUCUCAGUUCGGAUUGCAGGCUGCAACUCGCCUGCAUGAAGCCGGAAUCGCUAG
rnacentral:rRNA from 1 species